rnacentral:rRNA from 1 species
AGAACGAACGCUGGCGGCAGGCUUAACACAUGCAAGUCGAGCGCCCCGCAAGGGGAGCGGCAGACGGGUGAGUAACGCGUGGGAACAUACCCUCCGGUUCGGAAUAGCUCAGGGAAACUUGGAUUAAUACCGGAUACGGCCUAGCGGCGAAAGAUUCAUCGCCGGAGGAUUGGCCCGCGUCUGAUUAGCUAGUUGGUGGGGUAAUGGCCCACCAAGGCGACGAUCAGUAGCUGGUCUGAGAGGAUGAUCAGCCACAUUGGGACUGAGACACGGCCCAAACUCCUACGGGAGGCAGCAGUGGGGAAUAUUGGACAAUGGGCGCAAGCCUGAUCCAGCCAUGCCGCGUGAGUGAUGACGGCCUUAGGGUUGUAAAGCUCUUUCGCUAGGGACGAUAAUGACGGUACCUAGACAAGAACGCCCGCUAACUUCGUGCCAGCAGCCGC